rnacentral:rRNA from 1 species
GACGAACGCUGGCGGCGUGCUUAACACAUGCAAGUCGAGCGGUAAGGCCCUUUCGGGGGUACGACGAGCGGCGAACGGGUGAGUAACACGUGGGUGACCUGCCCUCAGCUCUGGGAUAAGCCUGGGAAACUGGGUCUAAUACCGGAUAUGACUCCAUGACGCAUGUUGUGGGGUGGAAAGCCUUGUGCGGCUGAGGAUGGGCCCGCGGCCUAUCAGCUUGUUGGGUGGGGGAUGGCCUACCAAGGCGACGACGGGUAGCCGGCCUGAGAGGGCGACCGGCCACACUGGGACUGAGACACGGCCCAGACUCCUACGGGAGGCAGCAGUGGGGAAUCUUGCGCAAUGGGCGAAAGCCUGACGCAGCGACGCCGCGUGA